UGUCUAUGAUGACCUUAUCCCAAACCUGGCUUCCUAAUGAGAAAACGAAUAUGGAGCUGGCUCCUGGGU
ensembl:snoRNA